ACUUGCCGCUGGAGCCCCAGUUCCUGUGGGCGUUGACACCGACGGCGGUCCUGCCGCUGUUGAAGCGACGGUUGUAGCCCGCACUGGCAUGGUAGUUCCUGCCAUAGGCUCUGUGUGUGUGAGACAGGUGUUAGGACGCACUGGCAUGGUAGUUCCUGCCGUAGGCUCUGUGUGUGAGAGACAGGUGUUAGGACGCACUGGCAUGGUAGUUCCUGCCGUAGGCUCUGUGUGUGUGAGACAGGUGUUAGGACGCACUGGCAUGGUAGUUCCUGCCGUAGGCUCUGUGUGUGUGAGACAGGUGUUAGGACGCACUGGCAUGGUAGUUCCUGCCAUAGGCUCUGUGUGUGAGAGACAGGUGUUACGACGCACUGGCAUGGUAGUUCCUGCAGUAGGGUUGGUGUGGGGGAGCCAGGUACUAAAACAAGUGUCAAUACUACCACAGUUUGAGCUGCGUUUGGUUAAGGCAAUCUUGGCAAGGUACAGACAAAACACAGUUU